rnacentral:lncRNA from 1 species
GAGAUUGCUACCACCACCACCCAUUGGUCAAGAGGCUAAUAAUAAGCAGAGACUCUCCGAGUUUACUCUCAGCCAAGCGUUUCUUCGUCAAUGGUUCCACAUUAUUCGCCGAUUCUUUCGAGGAGUUGUAAGCAUCUUCUUCGUCUUCUCUCCUACUAUUUAAUUUUCCAUUUUUGUUAAUUUAUUAAUUUAUUUAUUUAUCUACUUGUACUACCAGUUGAUCUGCAGAGACAAAUUGACUGACAGUCAGAGAGACGCGCGCACGAGGUGGAAGAACGGACAACAAGAUAAGUUGUUGACCAGAUCGGUUUGAUUUUGGUUUGCAUGCGUGGUUUAUUAAACCAGUAUUCUGAUUGUGGCACUGUUUUGAUUACCUCCAGU